CGUACGGGUGCGUAACACGUGUGCAACCUGCCUUUAUCUGGGGGAUAGCCUUUCGAAAGGAAGAUUAAUACUCCAUAACAUAUUGAACGGCAUCGUUUAAUAUUGAAAGCUCCGGCGGAUAGAGAUGGGCACGCGCAAGAUUAGCUAGUUGGUGAGGUAACGGCUCACCAAGGCGAUGAUCUUUAGGGGGCCUGAGAGGGUGAUCCCCCACACUGGUACUGAGACACGGACCAG
rnacentral:rRNA from 1 species